rnacentral:rRNA from 1 species
UAGGGAAUCUUCCACAAUGGACGCAAGUCUGAUGGAGCAACGCCGCGUGAGUGAAGAAGGUUUUCGGACCGUAAAGCUCUGUUGUUGGUGAAGAAGGAUAGAGGUAGUAACUGGCCUUUAUUUGACGGUAAUCAACCAGAAAGUCACGGCUAACUACGUGCCAGCAGCCGCGGUAAUACGUAGGUGGCAAGCGUUGUCCGGAUUUAUUGGGCGUAAAGCGAGCGCAGGCGGAAGAAUAAGUCUGAUGUGAAAGCCCUCGGCUUAACCGAGGAAUUGCAUCGGAAACUGUUUUCUUGAGUGCAGAAGAGGAGAGUAGAACUCCAUGUGUAGCGGUGGAAUGCGUAGAUAUAUGGAAGAAUACCAGUGGCGAAGGCGGCUCUCUGGUCUGCAACUGACGCUGAGGCUCGAAAGCAUGGGUAGCGAACAGGAUUAGAUACCCUUGGUAGUCCAUGCCGUAAACGAUGAGUGCUAAGUGUUGGGAGGCUUCCGCCUCUCAGUGCUGCAGCUAACGCAUUAAGCACUCCGCCUGGGGG